rnacentral:rRNA from 1 species
GAUAGUGAUAUGGAGCGAACCGAAAAGACGGUCUCAGUUCGGAUUGAAGGCUGAAAUUCGCCUUCAUGAAGCCGGAAUUGCUAGUAAUGGCAGGUCAGCAUACUGCCGUGAAUACGUUCCCGGGCCUUGUACACACCGCCCGUCACACCAUGAGAGUUGGAAAUACCCGAAGCCUGUGAGCUAACUUAAGGGAGGCAGCAGUCGAAGGUAGAGCCAAUGAUUGGGGUGAAGUCGUAACAAGGUACC